GAGGAGGAGGAGGGGAAGAAAUGGACAGCUACCAUUUGCAGGCACAUGAACUCAUAGCUCUCUUAUCUAGUCUCAUUGGUGAAAUUAUGUUGGCAUCAAUGAUAAAGGCAGGGUGGCUCUGAGUCCACAUGCCUACAGGGCCUCCACCUGCCCCCAUCCCCCCACUUACUCAGCAACAUUCCCACCAGGUGCUCUGCUUGGACCCUCAUCAAGAUUCCUUGUCCCAUCUCUGUGAGUUUGCCAGGACCUGUGCUGGGGGCUGGAGGUGUCCCCUGUGCCUCCUCAGAAGCCCAGAGUAACCUCCCCCACAACUGCACCUGGCCUCACAUCCAGCCCCUGGACUGUCUGUUGGGCUCACAUCUUCUGUGCCUUUCCUUAGGUACCAAAGUACUGGGGUCCUGCCUCCCCUCUCAGCCUCUAACCAGAGUCCACUCCACAUCCACAGAGGCAUAAAGUGUCCCUAGAGCCCCCACUGGAUGGCAAACUGCUGAGAACCCAUGUUUGGGCCCCUAUAACUGAAACUAGUGUUACUAUCCUUAUUUUACAGAUAAGGAAACUCAGACAAUAUUUUAUCAGCUGGAAAUUGAAAAGCAAGGUGCCAACUGGAAAACACCUACACCAGAGCAAACACAAAAGAAGAGACUAUCCUGACCCACCUGGUGGUCUGAAUGGAAUAACCUCUGCAAGGAAAGAGGCAUCUCAGGGGUCUCUUCAGACAGAGAGCAGCAUCCUGACAGGAUGGCUGUACAACCGGAGCCAGUAUGUGAUUAAAUGGACACACAAUGGAUAUGACCAUCUUGGAAGCAGAUGUCCUGAGCCUUCAGGAGGGUCUGAGCCCAGAGGAUUUGGGGCAAGGGCAGAAUGAACUUGUCCCUGGGACAGCAGGGCAGUGCUUGGAGAGCCCCAAGCUACAUCACACCUGGAGGCCAAACUGGCCUGGCCCCUGACUGGCCAUGCAGCCCCCUGGACUUCACUUGCUUUGUUUAUAAAACGGACAUAACAAAAUAGUUAACGUCUCCCUAUUGACCCUCAGUACAACCCCAGCUGUUGCUAUGACACUCCAGGCUCUUCAAGGAACACAACUGGGGACCCUCACUCAGUCAGGCCUGAUGCUCACCUACACUUCCAGCCUCACUCGUGGCGUCCCCUCAAGAGUCCUCCCUCCAACUCCCAGCCAGAAGCCCUCCCCAUUCCCUGUCAGGGCCCAUGUCUGACCAGUCUUCCCCCAUCUGCCUCCUGGAAUCCCACUCAUGCUUCCACAUCACUCCCCACUCCCUCGAGCCUUCUGAAGGCUCUGGUACCCAGGCGCCUGGUUUGGGUCUCAGCCACGGCUCCUAUGACAGCUUUCCUGGGAAGUAGGCAGGUGUGUCUCUCACUGAACUGUGACCCCGUUGGGAACAUGGCCACACCUGGGUCCCCUGGCAGGCCCCAGUGGAAGAGUCUGUGACAUACUGACCAACUGAUUUGGGGGGUCAGGGAAUUGGGACUUGGUUUCCUGUGUUCUUUUCCCAAACCAUCUCUUGACACAAAACCAGAAGUCCAGAAGUGCUCUCAGAACUGGACACUCAAAGACAGAGGGCUCUCGGACGUGAAGAAAGGCGGAGUGCCCAGAUUGGGCAAAGCCAUCACUAAGGCCCCUUCUGGCACAAAGCCCACAGUGCCCUGCCCAGAGACCAGCCCUCCCUCCCUUCUGAGCACUCAAUAGCCCAUUCCUUUAGGUGAGCCCUAAUCCACACCUUGGUCUUUGCCCAUGUGGUCAUCCCACUUGGCACACGGCCACUCCCCCACCCGGCCCCCUGCUCGGCACCUGCACACUGCAGCAUUCAGCAAAUUCACUCAUGAAUGAAUCCUCUGAGGGCAACCCC
rnacentral:lncRNA from 12 species